GCUCUUUGUCUUUGUGCUGCAUGAGGAGGUAGACGAGCAGUCACUCACCAACGUGGCCUUCAAUCUACGAGGACUGCAGGGUGGUGGAGAAGAGGAUCGAGGACUUCACAGAGUCACUCCUCAUCUUGCCCAAGUCCAAGUAGCUGGAUGGGGCCCCCGACAUAUCUGGGGACAAGAUCACCCUCCUCUGCAUCCCGUUUGAGAAGGAGGACGUCAUGGGACUGGAGACAGACAGCAGGGCCCUGUGAUCUACAUGCCCGCACUCCCCUUCUGCUCCUUGGAGAUGAGGUGUCAGGUUUAGGAACCUGGGCACUGCUGGGAGCAUAGCUGCCAGCACCGUGCUACACAAAGGCUGGCUCCAUUCACCUAACCUGUCACCACCUGCUGAGUCCCAAGGCGUCAGUCAAGCUGACGUCCACCACUGACGGCCGUGUCGUUAGUUUGCUGUAGUGAGUCUCCAACACCCCAGUCAACCGUGAAGGAAGAUGCUUUGGCCGACCUAGGACCUUGGAUUCUCACCCCCACCAUGGUUCAUCUCACCCGGUGGAAGGGUUUGGCCACCGCCAUCAUGCUGACCAUGAGACAUUGUUGCUCCUUUCAUG